AGUCUGUGGGGGGGAUGGGGAACUGAAGACAAGCACAGGGAAGGGGGAGCAGAGAACCCCGGAAGGGUAGGGAACAGGGAGUCCUAACAACAGGCUCUGUUCCUAGUCCAUGUGACCCUGAAAGGUCCAGGCCCAGGAUGAACUCAGCUCAGAGAGACAACGGACAACAGAACUGACCUGGCUGGGCCAUCAAUCAGGGUUUGGGAGCAGUGCUGGAGCCCAAGCUCUUUUCCACAGAGAGAGGACAGAGCCGACAACAGAUCAUGGAGCCCCCCUCAGCCCUUCCCCCAAUGUGUGUCCCCUGGCAGGGGCUUCUGUUUACAGCCUCACUGCUAACCAUCUGGAACAUCCCCACCUCUGCGAAGCCCACUAUUGAGUCGGUGCCACCUGCUGUUCUCGAAGGGAAGAACGUCCUUCUACUUGCUCACAACCUGCCUGACAACCUAUUAGCCUAUCACUGGUUCAAAGGAAAACGGCCGAUAGACAACGAUCUAAUUAUAAUAAUGUCACCUUGAAGCAAUCUGGAAUCUACAGCCUAAAUAUCCAUUCUGCAGAUGACCAAAAAUCAUUGUUUGUAGAAGUCUUUGUGUACCCUCUCUUAAGCAAGCCCUCCAUAACAAGCAACAGGACCACUGCUGUGGAGGGUCAAGACACUGUUGAGUUAACUUGCGAACCUCCCUUCCAGAAAACAACCUACCUGUGGCAUCUAAACGGUAAGAAGCUUCACAUUGGCGACCGCGUCGUCCUGUCUCGGGGUAAUGCAACUCUCACUUUGUUCAAGGUCUCUAGGCAUUUCAGAGGACACUAUGAGUGCGAAGCUAAGAACCCGCUGAGUGCCUUCCAUAGUGACCCGUUCACUCUGGAUGUUUUCUAUGGCCCAGAUACCCCCGAAAUAUUUCCCCCAAACAAAUACUUUGAGGAAGGCAAGAGCAUGUGGAUCUCCUGCCAAACAGUGUCUCACCCCAAAGCACACUAUUCCUGGAAUAUCAAUGGAAAACCCUGGAAUUCUAGACAAGAGAUAUCUAUCUACCAGGUCGGCAUACGUAAUAAUGGACUGUAUACCUGCCUCGUCAAUAACCCAGCGACUGGCCGCAAUAAUUCCAAAGACAAAGAAGUUAUAAUAGUUGAGAAAUUGCCAAAGCCCCAUAUCCAAGUCAAAAACGAAACAGUCUUAGAACGUCAUUUUGUGGACCUGACCUGCGUACUGGAAAAUACUGGAGUUUCCAUCGGGUGGAUAUUCAACAAUCAGAAACUGAAGGCCACAGAUAGAGUGUCGUUCUCCUGGAACAACAGAAGGCUCACCAUAGACCCAGUCACCAAGGAGGAUGCCGGAGCAUACCAGUGUGAGGUCUCCAACCCCCUCAACACCAGGCAGAGUGAUCCAGUCAAGCUGGCUGUGCUCUAUCAACCGUCAAAAAAUUUCCUGUUGUCACCCCUGAUUGUGGCUAGCUUGGCUGCUGAAGUCCUGGCUGGGCUGGCUAUCCUAGGAAGCCUGGUGUAUUUGGUGUUUCUCAAGAAGUUUGACAAUCGGGAAAGCCGCAAAAGAAUACACGGGGAGGAACAAAAGAACUGGACGAGAGCAAAAGAGUAGUACAGAAAGNNNNNNNNNNNNNNNNNNNNNNNNNNNNNNNNNNNNNNNNNNNNNNNNNNNNCCCUCAGUUGCUGGAGGUCCUCACCUCUUCCCGGCCACAGGAGACCAGGUCACAGGCCCCACAACAACUCUCCUUGAGUGUGAGGUGGAUGGCGUCUGUCCAGAACACCAAAACCCAGCAACCCAACCAGCCAACUUCAGCCCCCAGGCUAUAGCAGUCAUGGAACUGGGCCCCCAGGCUAUAGCAGUCAUGGAACUGAUUUUCUGAAGUUAAAAAAAAAAAAAUCAA
ensembl:processed_transcript Gm5893 predicted gene 5893